CGGCGGGGCCGAUCGUGUGCAGGUUUUGUGUAGUAAUCACAGCUGUUGAAAGUUCCCGAGCAGCCACUGACACGCCCAGAAGACACACGCCACGACACUCUGACUCUUUGUCCGGCUCUUGCCUCCCUUCUGCUCUGCCUCUCUUCCCAGGAUGUUCCUUGAACCUUGGAGGCUGGGAUAUAGAUGGUCCAUUUAGGAAUGGACACUCAACUGUCCUGUCGCUAUUCUCGUCCCUUUGGCCAGUGUCUCUGCAGUAACCACCACCCCACUGCAUAGAGAAGCUUCUCUGACCAGGGCCGAAAGCCGCGCUAAUCUACCCGGUACAAGCAAACCUAUCCAGAAUGCAGUUUGAUAGGUACAUCAUGUUCAUUCAGGAAAACAGUAAGUGCAGCCUCUCUCCACUUGGCCCCCGUGACCUCCCUGACUUUUGAGCCUGGGUCACAUUAUCAGCUCUGAAGUCCUCCUGCAGACCAGGCCUCAGAUCGAAACAGGUGGUGGUUGGUUGUCCCCACAAGGUCAUUACUGCAGGAUCUACAGCUGAUAAGACUGGCUGACAAUUCUCUUGGUGACAAUUCUCCUAGAAGCCUGUACAGCACCUUCCGGCACCUUGAACGCUGGUCAACAGGAGGAAGCUUCCAGAUAGGUUUGACUGGAUCUUGCUUUCCUGGCGCCUUAAGCUGUGUCCAUCAUCCUAAGACUCCGCCCUCACUCUAGAGGUAAUGUCCUCAUGCCACCUCCCAGAAAAUAACCAGCGUGACCUGAUGUUGAAUUCCGAAUUGAAUAAAACUGAAGUUUAAAACGAAA